rnacentral:rRNA from 1 species
CCUACGGGGGGCAGCAGUGAGGAAUAUUGGUCAAUGGGCGCAAGCCUGAACCAGCCAUGCCGCGUGCAGGAUGACGGUCCUAUGGAUUGUAAACUGCUUUUGCACAGGAAGAAACACUACCUCGUGAGGUAGCUUGACGGUACUGUGAGAAUAAGGAUCGGCUAACUCCGUGCCAGCAGCCGCGGUAAUACGGAGGAUCCAAGCGUUAUCCGGAAUCAUUGGGUUUAAAGGGUCCGUAGGCGGUCUAAUAAGUCAGUGGUGAAAGCCCUACGCUCAACGUAGGAACGGCCAUUGAUACUGUUAGACUUGAAUUAUUUGGAAGUAACUAGAAUAUGUAGUGUAGCGGUGAAAUGCUUAGAGAUUACAUGGAAUACCAAUUGCGAAGGCAGGUUACUACAAAUGGAUUGACGCUGAUGGACGAAAGCGUGGGUAGCGAACAGGAUUAGAUACCCCAGUAGUC